rnacentral:tRNA from 1 species
GCCUGGGUGGCUCAGUCAGUUAAGCAUCCGACUUUGGCUCAGGUUACAGCUGUGGGUUUAAGCCCCACAUCAGGCU